UGCGCAGGCGGAACUGAAAGUCAGAAGUGAAAUCCCGGGGCUCGACCCGGAACUGCUUUUGAAACUCCAGUUCUAGAAUCCGAUAGAGGUAAGGAGAAUUCCUAGUGUAGAGGUGAAAUUCGCAGAUAUUAGGAGGAAUACCAGUGGCGUAGGCGCCUUACUGGGUCGGUAUUGACGCUCAUGUACGAAAGCGUGGGGAGCAAACA
rnacentral:rRNA from 1 species